UUAAGCGACUAAGCGUACACGGUGGAUGCCCUGGCAGUCAGAGGCGAUGAAGGACGUGCUAAUCUGCGAUAAGCGUCGGUAAGGUGAUAUGAACCGUUAUAACCGGCGAUUUCCGAAUGGGGAAACCCAGUGUGAUUCGUCACACUAUCAUUAACUGAAUCCAUAGGUUAAUGAGGCGAACCGGGGGAACUGAAACAUCUAAGUACCCCGAGGAAAAGAAAUCAACCGAGAUUCCCCCAGUAGCGGCGAGCGAACGGGGAGCAGCCCAGAGCCUGAAUCAGUGUGUGUGUUAGUGGAAGCGUCUGGAAAGGCGCGCGAUACAGGGUGACAGCCCCGUACACAAAAAUGCACAUGCUGUGAGCUCGAUGAGUAGGGCGGGACACGUGGUAUCCUGUCUGAAUAUGGGGGGACCAUCCUCCAAGGCUAAAUACUCCUGACUGACCGAUAGUGAACCAGUACCGUGAGGGAAAGGCGAAAAGAACCCCGGCGAGGGGAGUGAAAAAGAACCUGAAACCGUGUACGUACAAGCAGUGGGAGCACGCUUAGGCGUGUGACUGCGUACCUUUUGUAUAAUGGGUCAGCGACUUAUAUUCUGUAGCAAGGUUAACCGAAUAGGGGAGCCGAAGGGAAACCGAGUCUUAACUGGGCGUUAAGUUGCAGGGUAUAGACCCGAAACCCGGUGAUCUAGCCAUGGGCAGGUUGAAGGUUGGGUAACACUAACUGGAGGACCGAACCGACUAAUGUUGAAAAAUUAGCGGAUGACUUGUGGCUGGGGGUGAAAGGCCAAUCAAACCGGGAGAUAGCUGGUUCUCCCCGAAAGCUAUUUAGGUAGCGCCUCGUGAAUUCAUCUCCGGGGGUAGAGCACUGUUUCGGCAAGGGGGUCAUCCCGACUUACCAACCCGAUGCAAACUGCGAAUACCGGAGAAUGUUAUCACGGGAGACACACGGCGGGUGCUAACGUCCGUCGUGAAGAGGGAAACAACCCAGACCGCCAGCUAAGGUCCCAAAGUCAUGGUUAAGUGGGAAACGAUGUGGGAAGGCCCAGACAGCCAGGAUGUUGGCUUAGAAGCAGCCAUCAUUUAAAGAAAGCGUAAUAGCUCACUGGUCGAGUCGGCCUGCGCGGAAGAUGUAACGGGGCUAAACCAUGCACCGAAGCUGCGGCAGCGACGCUUAUGCGUUGUUGGGUAGGGGAGCGUUCUGUAAGCCUGCGAAGGUGUGCUGUGAGGCAUGCUGGAGGUAUCAGAAGUGCGAAUGCUGACAUAAGUAACGAUAAAGCGGGUGAAAAGCCCGCUCGCCGGAAGACCAAGGGUUCCUGUCCAACGUUAAUCGGGGCAGGGUGAGUCGACCCCUAAGGCGAGGCCGAAAGGCGUAGUCGAUGGGAAACAGGUUAAUAUUCCUGUACUUGGUGUUACUGCGAAGGGGGGACGGAGAAGGCUAUGUUGGCCGGGCGACGGUUGUCCCGGUUUAAGCGUGUAGGCUGGUUUUCCAGGCAAAUCCGGAAAAUCAAGGCUGAGGCGUGAUGACGAGGCACUACGGUGCUGAAGCAACAAAUGCCCUGCUUCCAGGAAAAGCCUCUAAGCAUCAGGUAACAUCAAAUCGUACCCCAAACCGACACAGGUGGUCAGGUAGAGAAUACCAAGGCGCUUGAGAGAACUCGGGUGAAGGAACUAGGCAAAAUGGUGCCGUAACUUCGGGAGAAGGCACGCUGAUAUGUAGGUGAAGUCCCUCGCGGAUGGAGCUGAAAUCAGUCGAAGAUACCAGCUGGCUGCAACUGUUUAUUAAAAACACAGCACUGUGCAAACACGAAAGUGGACGUAUACGGUGUGACGCCUGCCCGGUGCCGGAAGGUUAAUUGAUGGGGUUAGCGCAAGCGAAGCUCUUGAUCGAAGCCCCGGUAAACGGCGGCCGUAACUAUAACGGUCCUAAGGUAGCGAAAUUCCUUGUCGGGUAAGUUCCGACCUGCACGAAUGGCGUAAUGAUGGCCAGGCUGUCUCCACCCGAGACUCAGUGAAAUUGAACUCGCUGUGAAGAUGCAGUGUACCCGCGGCAAGACGGAAAGACCCCGUGAACCUUUACUAUAGCUUGACACUGAACAUUGAGCCUUGAUGUGUAGGAUAGGUGGGAGGCUUUGAAGUGUGGACGCCAGUCUGCAUGGAGCCGACCUUGAAAUACCACCCUUUAAUGUUUGAUGUUCUAACGUUGACCCGUGAUCCGGGUUGCGGACAGUGUCUGGUGGGUAGUUUGACUGGGGCGGUCUCCUCCUAAAGAGUAACGGAGGAGCACGAAGGUUGGCUAAUCCUGGUCGGACAUCAGGAGGUUAGUGCAAUGGCAUAAGCCAGCUUGACUGCGAGCGUGACGGCGCGAGCAGGUGCGAAAGCAGGUCAUAGUGAUCCGGUGGUUCUGAAUGGAAGGGCCAUCGCUCAACGGAUAAAAGGUACUCCGGGGAUAACAGGCUGAUACCGCCCAAGAGUUCAUAUCGACGGCGGUGUUUGGCACCUCGAUGUCGGCUCAUCACAUCCUGGGGCUGAAGUAGGUCCCAAGGGUAUGGCUGUUCGCCAUUUAAAGUGGUACGCGAGCUGGGUUUAGAACGUCGUGAGACAGUUCGGUCCCUAUCUGCCGUGGGCGCUGGAGAACUGAGGGGGGCUGCUCCUAGUACGAGAGGACCGGAGUGGACGCAUCACUGGUGUUCGGGUUGUCAUGCCAAUGGCACUGCCCGGUAGCUAAAUGCGGAAGAGAUAAGUGCUGAAAGCAUCUAAGCACGAAACUUGCCCCGAGAUGAGUUCUCCCUGACUCCUUGAGAGUCCUGAAGGAACGUUGAAGACGACGACGUUGAUAGGCCGGAUGUGUAAGCGCAGCGAUGCGUUGAGCUAACCGGUACUAAUGAACCGUGAGGCUUAACCU
rnacentral:rRNA from 1 species